rnacentral:lncRNA from 1 species
UUUGACCUAGUUGAUCGAAUUCGAAACAAUAACGAAACUGGCUAGAUUUUCUACAAUCACCAUAAAACAUUACAAUCUCUCCAUCGAGCGGUUGGUUUCUCCGAAUUCAUUUUCUACUUCAUGGUUGCUUUAGAAUGAACCUAAACAAUUUAAAUGCAAUGUAUAAGUCAUACAACUAAAGGAAUAAAAUUGGUAUACACCAAUGUGUUUGUAAUUAAAUUUUUUUUUUUUUUUUAUCUUAUGUCCACGCACAUCCAUCGAUGGAAUAUAUACAAACGUGAUGUGAAAAAAUAAGCACGUUCGCGGUUGCCACGCCAUCGGUCAACCAAUAAAACAUAUAAGUGACUACGGUUGACCAAUCCGAUCGGAUUCGAAAAUAUGGUGAAAUUGGCUAAAUUUUUUACCACACUCAUAAUUUAUUGUAAUAAACUCAUCCAACGGUCGGUUUUUUCAUUUUCUUUGAAUUGAUAGGGGUUGCUCUUUGGAGUGUAUGAUAUAUAAACAUAGGUUUAUAAGAGUAACUACGUUUGACCUAGUUGAUCGAAUUCGAAACAAUAACGAAAUUGGCUAGAUUUUCUACAAUCACCAUAAAACAUUACAAUCUCUCCAUCGAGCGGUUGGUUUCUCCGAAUUCAUUUUCUACUUCAUGGUUGCUUUAGAAUGAACCUAAACAAUUUAAAUGCAAUGUAUAAGUCAUACAACUAAAGGAAUAAAAUUGGUAUACACCAAUGUGUUUGUAAUUAAAAUUAAUUUUUUUUAUCUUAUGUCCACGCACAUCCAUCGAUGGAAUAUAUACAAACGUGAUGUGAAAAAAUAAGCACGUUUCGCGGUUGCCACGCCAUCGGUCAACCAAUAAAACAUAUAAGUGACUACGGUUGACCAAUCCGAUCGGAUUCGAAAAUAUGGUGAAAUUGGCUAAAUUUUUUACCACACUCAUAAUUUAUUGUAAUAAACUCAUCCAACGGUCGGUUUUUUCAUUUUCUUUGAAUUGAUAGGGGUUGCUCUUUGGAGUGUAUGAUAUAUAAAUAUAGGUUUAUAAGAUGUAUGAUAUAUAAAUAUAGGUUUAUAAGAGUAACUACGUUUGACCUAGUUGAUCGAAUUCGAAACAAUAACGAAAUUGGCUAGAUUUUCUACAAUCACCAUAAAACAUUACAAUCUCUCCAUCGAGCGGUUGAUUUCUCCGAAUUCAUUUUCUACUUCAUGGUUGCUUUAGAAUG